rnacentral:rRNA from 1 species
UACAGGGGGAGCAAGCGUUGUUCGGAUUUACUGGGCGUAAAGGGCGCGUAGGCGGCGCAACAAGUCACUUGUGAAAUUUCCGGGCUUAACCCGGAGCGGCCAAGUGAUACUGUCGUGCUAGAGUGCGGAAGGGGCUACUGGAAUUCUCGGUGUAGCGGUGAAAUGCGUAGAUAUCGAGAGGAACACCUGCGGCGAAGGCGGGUAGCUGGGCCGACACUGACGCUGAGGCGCGAAAGCCAGGGGAGCGAACGGG